GACGAACGCUGGCGGCGUGCUUAACACAUGCAAGUCGAACGGAAAGGCCUGCUUUCCCUUGUGGAUUGCGGGUACUCGCGUGGCGAACGGGUGAGUAACACGUGAGUGAUCUGCCCCCAACUUUUGUAUAAGCCUGGGAUACUGGGUCUAAUUCCCGAUAGCACUGCAGUGUGGUUCCUGUGGUUGAAAACGAUUUUCUAGUGGUUGGGGAUGAGCUCGCGGCCUAUCAGCUUGUUGGUGGGGUAAUGGCCGACCAAUGCGGCGACGGGAAGCCGGCCUGGGAGGGUGGACGGGCGCAUUGGGACUGAGAUACGGCCAAGACGACUACGGGAGGAAGCAGUGGGGAAGAUUGCACAAGGGGCGGAAGCCUGAUGGAGCGACGCUGAGUGGGGGAUGACGGCCUUGGGGUUGUAAACUCCUGUCGACCGAGAGGAAGCCACCUGGUUGGAAGGGUGGUGACGGUAGUGGUAGAAGAAGCACCGGCUAACUACGUG
rnacentral:rRNA from 1 species